CCAUUGUUACCGGUUCUUCUCGCGGAAUCGGCAAAGCAAUUGCACUUCAUUUGGCCUCACUUGGUGCUAAACUCGUCAUCAACUAUUCCUCCAACUCCACUCAAGCAGACGACGUCGUAUCCCAGAUCAAUUCCACCUCCGGUUCCCCACGUGCCAUUGCCGUCAAGGCCAAUAUCUCAGAUCCAGAUCAAGUGAAAUCCCUCUUUGACGCUGCUGAAUCGGCUUUUCAAUCGCCGGUCAACAUCCUGGUGAACUCCGCCGGGGUACUCGACGGAAAAUACCCGUCAAUCCUAAACACAACCCUAGAGGAUUUCGACAGGACUUUUGAUGUAAACGCUCGUGGAGCUUUUGUGUGCUGCAAGGAAGGUGCUAAGAGAAUCAAACACGGCGGAGGAGGGAGGAUUAUAUGCUUAUCGACGUCCUUAGCAGCGGCGUUUAGACCUGGAUACGGAGCGUACAUCGCUUCAAAAGCGGCCGUGGAAGCAAUGGUGAAGAUACUGGCGAAGGAACUGAAAGGGACAGGAAUAACGGUGAAUUGUGUGGCGCCGGGACCCAUAGCGACGGAAUUGUUCUACGAAGGGAAAACAGAGGCCAUGAUAAAGAGGGUGAUUGAUGAUUGUCCACAUGGAAGACUUGGCCUGCCGGAGGAUAUCGCGCCGGUGGUUGGGUUUUUGGCCGGCGACGCUUCUGAAUGGGUUAAUGGACAGAUCAUUCGUGUCAAUGGCGGCUUCAUCUAAUUUAUUUAUUUAUUUUGCCAAGAGUUAUGUUUUACCUGCAGUUUUUCUAUUGUGACAUCUAUUUGAUUUUGUUUCAUUUUCCGUUAUUAUAAAAUAUAAUAUAAAAUAAUAAUCAAUAUACGUGAAAAUUCCUCUAAACUUGAAACGAGAACUUACUUUAGCAUUUAAAUUAUAUGAGUGUUUAUAUAUUUCUUAAUAUUUUUUGUGUGAAUUAUUUUUAAUCCUCUGAACAACAACUCAAUUAAAGGCUGGGUAUUGUUACACAUGCACGUUUUUAAUGAUUCACGUCCCUAAGAAUUUAAAAAAAAUAUUAGUUGUUUUAUAUAAUCCACUCGUUCUCAAAAUACAAUCCGAUCCAUUUCUAAACAAAUAUUCCUUAUAAAUCUCUAAGCCCGAUUCUCAUUCUUUCAAAUCUACAAGAACUAAUGUAAAAAAUUUUCUUUCGUUAGCUUGAAGGAUUUGCUGAGUUUAGAAUUUUCGUGAAGAAACAAAGAAUUUCCAAAAUCUUUUAUUCAAGAAGUAACGACAAUCUUGAAAAACUGAAAGUAAGGAAACAAAAUCAAAAUAAUAGAUGAAGAAGAAUAAGUUUGAAUCUUACAUUUUGAAGAACAAUAUUCUUUCAAAGAUUCAACUUUCAGGUUUGAAGAGCAUAGAUUUUAGAAAAAUUAAGAAAAAUAUAAUAAAUUAGGUCACCAUUUUUUGGAUGAUUGGGUUGGUGAGGGAGAAGAGAUAAUUAGGAUUCUUAUAAAAGCGAAGAUUGUUCUUCAAAUGGGUAAUGGGAUGGAUAUUACCGUUGGGGGGACAAAUUUAAUUUUUUAAAAAUGUUGAAAGAUGACAAAUGCGUCGUUCUAAGCUGUAACAACAUACGCACAAGGCUAGUGUUCGAAGAAUUGAAAAUAGUUCACAUCAAAUAUGUUAAAGGGUAUAUAAACACUCAUAGAAUUUAAGUACUAAAGUAAAUUUUCGUGUCAAAUUUAGAGAGAAAAAUCAAUUUGCGAGCAUUGUUUUACUUCCUAAAUCCUAAUUAACAUAACUAAAAUUCAACAAUGCAUUAAACAUGCUUAACGUUGAUAACGAUUACUCAUGAAAAUAAAUCAAGCAUUCAAAUUCAAUCACCAUUGUAUUUGGGAGAUCACAUGUAAUUGAAGUAAUUUACACAAUUUCAAGUUCAUGCAUAUCAUAAUGGAUAGAAUCAUGUUUUUUGAAGAAGCGAAAACAUAAGUAUUAAAAAACAUUGUAAAUAAAUAAAUCAUAGUAACAAGAUGGAUGUCUAUCAAUUUUACUCACAUUAUAAAUAAUUGAUGUGAAAAAUUAGCAUGUCAUUCCACAAAAGAGUGGUGUUCAAUAAUUUGUAACACCACAAAAGAGUGGUGUUACAAAUAUUAAAAUAAUGUUCUUAUCAUAUUAAUUGAAAUAGUACUGCAGAAAAGAAGACCAAUAAUAUAUCAGAUUUUAUUUUAAAAUAUGAAUUUUUAAAGACAAUAGAUGAUCAAAAUUGCAAGAACCACAAUUUCAUGCUAAUUUUUAUGAUUUUGUUUUAUGUUUAUAAAUAUGUAAUUUCUGAAUUGUAUUUAAGAGCUAAUUUUGCUGUUUGGAGUUUUAUCUAUUUUCAAAUCAUCAUUUUCAUUUUCUUAAAUAUAUUUGUUUACUUUAUUUAUCAUUUUUAACUUAGUCCAAAAUAUAAAUAAAUACUGAAUUUAUGACUUUCUAUAUUACUUUUUUUUAAUCAUUUGUUAAAAGUUUUAUAUUUGUGAUAAGAUUAACUUAUGUUUUAGUUAUUUCUUUAAAUUUGAAUAUGUUUCUUUCCCAAAUAUAGCAGACAUAUGAAGUAUCUCCAUUUAAAAUUUUUGUCCUACAGUGUCGAGCGAUUUAUUUGACUAUGACCAAAAUUAAAACCGAUUUUCAAGUUUGACUAUCUCUUUCAUUAGGAAAAAAUCUAAAAUAGUUUUAAUCUUUCGGUUAAGCCUCAAAGUCUUUCUUAAACUUUUAUAUCAUGAUCCUUCAUAUAUUGUAAUAUUCAUACAUAUUUUAUUCUUUCUCAAACUUCGGCCUAUUUUUAAAUAUUCAUUUUAUCUAUAAUUUUAUGUGUAGAACGUUAAAAUUUUUUAAAAAUAUUUUUUAUAGAAAUAAUACUCAAUGUAAGAGAAGGUGUGAAGAAAAUCUUAUUUUGUUUGAUAGUAAUAUUAAUACGGCUAAACCGAAAACACUUUAACAUUUGACUUUGCAAGAAAAGAAAAAAUAUACAAUUGCAUGUGACGACCAUAAAUAAAUCUCUCAAUUUUAACAGUAAAAAUGUACAAUAAAAUAAGAUGUUCCUUUCUCUAUAUGAAGCUAUUAUUUCUACUAAAUGUAUAAAAAAAAUUAAAAAAAAAUCUAUACAUAAAUUAUGAAUAAAAAUAAUAUUACAAAAUAAGAAAGAAUUUUGAAAAUGACCUAAAAUGUAAACAUGAGGAUUUAUAAUUAUUCGCGUGAGAAUUCAAAUAUGAUUUUAAUUCUUAAUUAAAGAUAAAGAGACUAUUUUGAACUUUUUCUCCUCUUUUAAUUAUUUGUUAUGAGUAUUAAAUGUUAUCACACAUUUAGCACCACACCAGUACUUUUCGUUUGUUUAUCCACAAAAUUCCAUUUUCUAGCAAUUUCAGUGCUUUUCUUCAGUGAUCAUGGCGGAAACAAACGUAGCCCAAGGCCAAAGCCUCGGGAAUCGUGUAGCCAUUGUUACCGGCUCUUCUCGCGGAAUCGGCAAAGCAAUUGCUCUUCACUUGGCCUCUCUCGGAGCUAAACUCGUCAUCAACUACACUUCCAACUCUACUCAAGCUGACGACGUCGUAUCCCAAAUCAAUUCCACCUCCGAUUCCCCACGCGCAAUCGCCGUCAAAGCCAAUGUCUCCGAUCCAAAUCAAGUCAAAUCCCUCUUCGAC
rnacentral:lncRNA from 1 species